AAUUAUAAGAUUGUAUGACAUAUGUUUAGUUCAUGAUCCAUUAGUCACUGAGUUAAUUAGACUGAAAAAGCAUAGGAAGAAAAUGAUUUUAAUCCAUACGUUGCGAUCAUCUAGAAUUUCAGCCAUAUUCUUUGGGAGUUGGGACCAUGGCACCAUGUAGCGAAAGCCCAUACGUGGAAAUUUGAAAACAACCAUUCAUCCCAAAAAAAUAAAAAUGAAGAAGCUUUUCUUUUAGAUUUUACCUUUUUACCUUCUGCUUUAAAAAUGUAUAUAUUUUAUUUAUAUAUAAAAGGAAUACUUUUUAUCAAAUAUAAAAAGAAAUAAUAAUGCUAUUAUUUAGAAGAAAAAAAUGAUCAAAGUUCACUGAUUUCGGCUGCGCUGUCAGUUGUAGUUACAAUUCUUUUUUUCUCACAAUUAUUUCUUAUGAAUAUUGCAUAUCUAUUGCGCUGGACAUAGUCAUCGAUCUAUUGGAAUCUCCUUUUGAAAUAAAAACAAAAAAUGAAAAGCGACGAAAUGAUGGAAGGUGGGUCGUGGGGGUACUCUAUAAUUAGAUUCAUGUGGUUCUCUAUUCGUUGCAUAUUCUUUUGCAUCGUUCAUUCUUGAUUAAACAUAUACUUAUAUUUUUGUUAUCUAGAUUCUCUACAUAAAUAAUGUUUUUCUUUUUUGUACAAACAGAUAGAUAAUGUUUUACCUUAUUACCAAAACUCAGGGUGGCCGAUGCAAGCCAUGCCAUAUGUUCAAAGUGAAAAAAAAUUCGACCAAAUUCGAGAUCAUUUUAGCACUUUCAAUUCUUAGUUUAUUUAGCCUAAAAUAUAUUUAAGAUGAAAACAUCUCUUUAUAAGAAGAUAGAUGAAGUUAUCCUCUAUUUUGAUGAUUACAUAAGAUUUAUGUCUUUCUUUUCUGUACAUGUUAUAGUAUAAUUAUGUUUUCUUUAUUUUCUGAUGUGUAUAUUCCUUGCUAUGUGUGAACAGUAUCCUAAUUGGAUCUUAGGGAAAUAUAGGAAGCUGAUACACGGUUGGUUACUAGAGUCUAGAUGAUGAUGUUAGUACCUAAGAAUGUCUUCAAUAAUUUGGAUCGACUUUGGUGUACCUUCUCAACCAUAGUUUUCUAUCUAAUUAUCCCCUAAGUUUUAGGUUAAUCACUAUACUACUCGGAUUUAGAAAGUUUAUCACUAUACCACAUUGAUUUACUGUUUGGUUCGAAGCAUAUAUCUUUUCCUACUGCAUGGCUUGAAGUCAUGGACCAUUAUAAUACCCAGUAAAUCAAUAGUCAAGAAAACAAAUGCAGACAAUGAAAACCGCUACAAAUUGAACCCCUAAAAUCAGAAGUGUAUUCAGGAAAUCAACAGUCUCUGCUCGGCCUUCCUGUGGUCUGGCCCGAUGAUGUCUUCGCAGAAAGCAAAAAUUGCAUGGUCUGAUGUUUGUUCUCCAAAAGAAGAAGGCGGUCUAGGUUUGAGACCUCUUGAGGAGGUUAACAGGGUCUCUUGUCUGAAGUUGAUCUGGCGCAUUGUCUCGUGUAGAUCAUCUUUAUGGGUUCAACGAAUUAAAAAACAUAUUACCAUAAAGAGUUUUUUUUGGAGUGUAAAAGCUUCAAGCUCUUUGGACUCCUGGAUGUGGAAGAAGUUGUUAAAGCUCAGGCCUCUUUCUCAGCAGUUCCAUUGAGUAGAAGUAAAUGAUGGCUCAACUACCUCCUUUUGGUAUGACAAUUGGUCUCAGCUAGGGGUGAUGAUCAAUUUAACUGGUGAAAGGGGUUCCAUUGCGUUAGGGAUUCCUAUAAAUGCAACGGUGGAGAGAGUGCUGCAAACCUAUCGGAGGCGCAGACUUAGAACCUAUGUACUGUUAUUAAUCAAGCAGGAGAUUCUGAGGCUUCAAGCUCUCUGGCCAAACCAACAGAAGGACUCUGUUCUUUGGAAGCAGGAGAUUGAUGAUUUCAGGGAGGGUUUCAGCUCAUCUCAAACCUGGAAAUUAACCAGGAUGCAGGGGCCCAACGUCUCUUGGGUAGAGGGAAUCUGGUUCAAAGAAGCUAUUCCUAAAUUCUCUUUUCUCACUUGGUUAGCGGCUCAUAACAGAUUAUCACUACAAGAAAUAUGUACAUUCUUAGCUCACGAAAAACGCUAUAGUAAGCCUUACAUAGCGUUUUCUCAUAUGCUAUGUCAUCGGCAGCAAUCAUAGAUACCACCUCUAUGAUAGCAUUUUUAAAAUGUUGCGAAAUGUGUAGAUACUAUAGCAAUACUUGAAUGUUGUUGUUAACUUUAAUUAUAGCACUGUUUUUUUGUUACAAAUUGAUUGUGAUUCGUAUAUUCGUGCUAUAAUAGGUUUUUUGUACAAUAAACCACAAAUAAUUAUAAUUAAAAAUAAAUAAUCAAAAAUUAAACUGAAA